UUAAGCGACUAAGCGUACACGGUGGAUGCCCUGGCAGUCAGAGGCGAUGAAGGACGUGCUAAUCUGCGAUAAGCGUCGGUAAGGUGAUAUGAACCGUUAUAACCGGCGAUUUCCGAAUGGGGAAACCCAGUGUGAUUCGUCACACUAUCAUUAACUGAAUCCAUAGGUUAAUGAGGCGAACCGGGGGAACUGAAACAUCUAAGUACCCCGAGGAAAAGAAAUCAACCGAGAUUCCCCCAGUAGCGGCGAGCGAACGGGGAGCAGCCCAGAGCCUGAAUCAGUGUGUGUGUUAGUGGAAGCGUCUGGAAAGGCGCGCGAUACAGGGUGACAGCCCCGUACACAAAAAUGCACAUGCUGUGAGCUCGAUGAGUAGGGCGGGACACGUGGUAUCCUGUCUGAAUAUGGGGGGACCAUCCUCCAAGGCUAAAUACUCCUGACUGACCGAUAGUGAACCAGUACCGUGAGGGAAAGGCGAAAAGAACCCCGGCGAGGGGAGUGAAAAAGAACCUGAAACCGUGUACGUACAAGCAGUGGGAGCACGCUUAGGCGUGUGACUGCGUACCUUUUGUAUAAUGGGUCAGCGACUUAUAUUCUGUAGCAAGGUUAACCGAAUAGGGGAGCCGAAGGGAAACCGAGUCUUAACUGGGCGUUAAGUUGCAGGGUAUAGACCCGAAACCCGGUGAUCUAGCCAUGGGCAGGUUGAAGGUUGGGUAACACUAACUGGAGGACCGAACCGACUAAUGUUGAAAAAUUAGCGGAUGACUUGUGGCUGGGGGUGAAAGGCCAAUCAAACCGGGAGAUAGCUGGUUCUCCCCGAAAGCUAUUUAGGUAGCGCCUCGUGAAUUCAUCUCCGGGGGUAGAGCACUGUUUCGGCAAGGGGGUCAUCCCGACUUACCAACCCGAUGCAAACUACGAAUACCGGAGAAUGUUAUCACGGGAGACACACGGCGGGUGCUAACGUCCGUCGUGAAGAGGGAAACAACCCAGACCGCCAGCUAAGGUCCCAAAGUCAUGGUUAAGUGGGAAACGAUGUGGGAAGGCCCAGACAGCCAGGAUGUUGGCUUAGAAGCAGCCAUCAUUUAAAGAAAGCGUAAUAGCUCACUGGUCGAGUCGGCCUGCGCGGAAGAUGUAACGGGGCUAAACCAUGCACCGAAGCUGCGGCAGCGACGCUUAUGCGUUGUUGGGUAGGGGAGCGUUCUGUAAGCCUGCGAAGGUGUGCUGUGAGGCAUGCUGGAGGUAUCAGAAGUGCGAAUGCUGACAUAAGUAACGAUAAAGCGGGUGAAAAGCCCGCUCGCCGGAAGACCAAGGGUUCCUGUCCAACGUUAAUCGGGGCAGGGUGAGUCGACCCCUAAGGCGAGGCCGAAAGGCGUAGUCGAUGGGAAACAGGUUAAUAUUCCUGUACUUGGUGUUACUGCGAAGGGGGGACGGAGAAGGCUAUGUUGGCCGGGCGACGGUUGUCCCGGUUUAAGCGUGUAGGCUGGUUUUCCAGGCAAAUCCGGAAAAUCAAGGCUGAGGCGUGAUGACGAGGCACUACGGUGCUGAAGCAACAAAUGCCCUGCUUCCAGGAAAAGCCUCUAAGCAUCAGGUAACAUCAAAUCGUACCCCAAACCGACACAGGUGGUCAGGUAGAGAAUACCAAGGCGCUUGAGAGAACUCGGGUGAAGGAACUAGGCAAAAUGGUGCCGUAACUUCGGGAGAAGGCACGCUGAUAUGUAGGUGAAGUCCCUCGCGGAUGGAGCUGAAAUCAGUCGAAGAUACCAGCUGGCUGCAACUGUUUAUUAAAAACACAGCACUGUGCAAACACGAAAGUGGACGUAUACGGUGUGACGCCUGCCCGGUGCCGGAAGGUUAAUUGAUGGGGUCAGCGCAAGCGAAGCUCUUGAUCGAAGCCCCGGUAAACGGCGGCCGUAACUAUAACGGUCCUAAGGUAGCGAAAUUCCUUGUCGGGUAAGUUCCGACCUGCACGAAUGGCGUAAUGAUGGCCAGGCUGUCUCCACCCGAGACUCAGUGAAAUUGAACUCGCUGUGAAGAUGCAGUGUACCCGCGGCAAGACGGAAAGACCCCGUGAACCUUUACUAUAGCUUGACACUGAACAUUGAGCCUUGAUGUGUAGGAUAGGUGGGAGGCUUUGAAGUGUGGACGCCAGUCUGCAUGGAGCCGACCUUGAAAUACCACCCUUUAAUGUUUGAUGUUCUAACGUGGACCCGUAAUCCGGGUUGCGGACAGUGUCUGGUGGGUAGUUUGACUGGGGCGGUCUCCUCCUAAAGAGUAACGGAGGAGCACGAAGGUUGGCUAAUCCUGGUCGGACAUCAGGAGGUUAGUGCAAUGGCAUAAGCCAGCUUGACUGCGAGCGUGACGGCGCGAGCAGGUGCGAAAGCAGGUCAUAGUGAUCCGGUGGUUCUGAAUGGAAGGGCCAUCGCUCAACGGAUAAAAGGUACUCCGGGGAUAACAGGCUGAUACCGCCCAAGAGUUCAUAUCGACGGCGGUGUUUGGCACCUCGAUGUCGGCUCAUCACAUCCUGGGGCUGAAGUAGGUCCCAAGGGUAUGGCUGUUCGCCAUUUAAAGUGGUACGCGAGCUGGGUUUAGAACGUCGUGAGACAGUUCGGUCCCUAUCUGCCGUGGGCGCUGGAGAACUGAGGGGGGCUGCUCCUAGUACGAGAGGACCGGAGUGGACGCAUCACUGGUGUUCGGGUUGUCAUGCCAAUGGCACUGCCCGGUAGCUAAAUGCGGAAGAGAUAAGUGCUGAAAGCAUCUAAGCACGAAACUUGCCCCGAGAUGAGUUCUCCCUGACUCCUUGAGAGUCCUGAAGGAACGUUGAAGACGACGACGUUGAUAGGCCGGGUGUGUAAGCGCAGCGAUGCGUUGAGCUAACCGGUACUAAUGAACCGUGAGGCUUAACCUU
rnacentral:rRNA from 1 species